rnacentral:rRNA from 1 species
UACGGAGGAUGCGAGCGUUAUCCGGAUUUAUUGGGUUUAAAGGGUGCGUAGGUGGAGACUUAAGUCAGUGGUGAAAGUUUGUCGCUCAACGAUAAAAUUGCCAUUGAAACUGGGUUUCUUGAGUAUGUUUGAGGUAGGCGGAAUGCGUGGUGUAGCGGUGAAAUGCAUAGAUAUCACGCAGAACUCCAAUUGCGAAGGCAGCUUACUAAACCAUAACUGACACUGAAGCACGAAAGCGUGGGUAUCAAACAGG